rnacentral:lncRNA from 1 species
GGUAAAUCAGGGGCUGUGACACUUCUUUCCUUUCAAAUGGAUACCCACAUGAGGGCUUCCUUAGGGAAGCAUCUGGAAGUGAAAUUGCUGGAUUAUAGGGUGUGUGCAUUAGGCUUUAACAGCUACAGUCACGUUUUGCUGUGGUGUUUUUGAUACUCCGGCUCCCCUGCCUCCAUAUUUGGUUAGCACAUAGAGCCGCUGCUUUGCCCUGUCCUCUGUGUCUUCAGUGCCACUUGGUUUAUGCAAGUUGAUCUUGCCCAAGGAGCCUGCCCUGUAUUCGAUCUGCCUUCUGCUGCAAAAGAAUGAAACUUCUGAAAUCCAGGGUAGCUGCAUCAUCUAUUUCAGAUGGAGAUGCAUCUUCAAUGAAGCAGGAAAUAUUUACAGGUAGCAAUCUAAUAUUUACCCAGGAAGUUUUACAUUGAUCUUAUCCUACCUAGAAACCUUGUGCCAUGGUUUGUAAACCCAAAUGCCUAUGGGGGGGCUGUAUAGCACAAUAGGAAGUGGUGGGGACCUCUGGGGACCUGCCUAGCCCAUCCUCAUGAAGAUGGCAACAGCUACUCAAUAAGUCACUGUAUAAUUCUCACAAAACAACGUGUGACCAAAACACUACCUAAGGACUAACAGAAACCUACCAGACUGUUCAGGCAAAGCCUCCCCUUUAUAGAUAAGGAUAGUGAGCCUCAAAAAGGUUAUUUUUCAUGUUCUAUGACAGAGCUAGUGACUGACAGAGCCCCGGACCUCUGGAGCUGCAUCCUUCCCACCACACUGCAGUACCUGCUUGUGAUGGUGAAUCUCUAUUC